rnacentral:rRNA from 1 species
GACGAACCGUGCGAACGUUAUUCGGAAUUACUGGGCUUAAAGCGCGUGUAGGCGGGCCGGCACGUCCGACGCUGAAAGCCCCCGGCUCAACCGGGGAAGUGGCGGGGAUACGACCGGCCUCGAGGGGGUAGAGGGACCUGGAACUUCCGGUGGAGCGGUGAAUGCGUUGAGAUCGGAAGGAACGCCCGUGGCGAAAGCGAGGUCCUGGACCCUUCUGACGCUGACGA